UUUUUAAUAAAAUUAUUUAUUUUAUAAAUUUUCGUAGGUUAUACUAAUUUCUGUGAAGAAAAUUAAAAAUUUUUAAAAAGAAAUUUUUUAUUCCUUUUGUAUCAGGAGACUUCAAACUUUUUUUUCCACAAAAAUUUCCUGAAAAAAGGUCAUCUAUUACUUUAUAUUAUUAUUGUAGUAAAAAUACUAUUAAUAAAUUAAUAGAAAUUAGACUUUAUCCGAACCUUUUGAUAUCCGGUUUCUUUAAUUUUUGAAUAAAAAAUUAUUUUAAUAAAGACAACUUUAUUAAACAAUUUAAUUCAUUCACUAUCAUUUAAGGAUUAAAAGUUUCCAAAUAGUUUCACAACUUUAUAAUUUUUUAUACAUAAUAGUAAUGUAAAGACUUUCCUAAAUCAAGCUGAUAAUGAAUUUAUUAGUAAAAAUUUUUAUUAAAAAUUUAGGAAUUAAGCAAAAUAUUGAAUGCCUGUUUACCAAAAACAUCUCUCACUUUUUUAUUGUAAGUAUUACCUGCUCAAUGAAUUUUAAAUAGCCGCGGAAAUUUAACUGUGCUAAGGUAGCAUAAUCAUUAGUCCCCUAAUUAGGGACUUGUAUGAAAGGUAAAACAUUUUAAUCUCUUUCUUUUUUAUUAGAAUUUAAGUUAAAUUAAGAAUAAAAAUGUUCUUAUUUUUAAAAUAGACGAUAAGACCCUUUUGAACUUUACUUCUGUUUAGCUGGGGCAGCUAAAUAAUAAUAGUCUUCAAUUUUAUUCUUUUUAUAAAUGACCCAAAACAUUUGAGUAGAUGAUCAAGUUACCAUAGGGAUAACAGCGUAAUUUCUUUUUAAAGCUCUUAUUAAAAAAGAAGAUUGCGACCUCGAUGUUGAAUUAAUGUUCCUUUUAGGUGCAAUAACUUUAAGAGUAGGUCUGUUCGACCUAUAAAACAUUACAUGAUUUGAGUUCAAAUCGGUGUAAACCAGAUUGGUUUCUAUCUUUUUAAUUUAUUUAUUUAGUACGAAAGGACAAAUAAAUUUAUUAUCAAU
rnacentral:rRNA from 1 species